rnacentral:rRNA from 1 species
AGUGAACGCUGGCGGUAGGCCUAACACAUGCAAGUCGAACGGCAGCACAGUAAGAGCUUGCUCUUACGGGUGGCGAGUGGCGGACGGGUGAGUAAUACAUCGGAAUCUACUUUUUCGUCGGGGAUAACGUAGGGAAACUUACGCUCAUACCGCAUACGACCUACGGGUGAAAGCCGGGGAUCUUCGGACCUUGCGCGAUUGAAUGAGGCGAUGUCGGAUUAGCUAGUUGGCGGGGUAAAGGCCCACCAAGGCGACGAUCCGUAGCUGGUCUGAGAGGAUGAUCAGCCACACUGGAACUGAGACACGGUCCAGACUCCUACGGGAGGCAGCAGUGGGGAAUAUUGGACAAUGGGCGCAAGCCUGAUCCAGCCAUACCGCGUGGGUGAAGAAGGCCUUCGGGUUGUAAAGCCCUUUUGUUGGGAAAGAAAAGCAGCAGGUUAAUACCCCGCUGUUCUGACGGUACCCAAAGAAUAGGCACCGGCUAACUUCGUG